rnacentral:rRNA from 1 species
UACGUAGGGGGCAAGCGUUAUCCGGAUUUACUGGGUGUAAAGGGGGCGCAGACGGCAGCGCAAGCCAGGAGUGAAAGCCCGGGGCCCAACCCCGGGACUGCUCUUGGAACUGCGCGGCUGGAGUGCAGGAGGGGCAGGCGGAAUUCCUAGUGUAGCGGUGAAAUGCGUAGAUAUUAGGAGGAACACCGGCGGCGAAGGCGGCCUGCUGGACCGAAACUGACGUUGAGGCUCGAAAGCGUGGGGAGCAAACAGG